rnacentral:rRNA from 1 species
AGGACGAACGCUGGCGGCGUGCUUAACACAUGCAAGUCGAGCGAGGCCCUUCCUUCGGGAAGGUGCCCUAGCGGCGAACGGGUGAGUAACACGUGGGCAACCUGCCCCUAGCACUGGGAUAACUCCGGGAAACCGGGGCUAAUACCGGAUAUGACCUUUGAGGGCAUCCUUGGAGGUGUAAAGGAUUCUGGCUAGGGAUGGGCCCGCGGCCUAUCAGCUUGUUGGUGGGGUAAUGGCCUACCAAGGCGACGACGGGUAGCCGGCCUGAGAGGGCGACCGGCCACACUGGGACUGAGACACGGCCCAGACUCCUACGGGAGGCAGCAGUGGGGAAUAUUGCACAAUGGGCGAAAGCCUGAUGCAGCGACGCCGCGUGAGGGAUGACGGCCUUGGUUGUAAACCUCUUUCAGCAGGGACGAAGCGAAAGUGACGGUACCGUGCAGAAGAAGCACCGGCCAACUACGCGCCAGCAGCCGC